AAUAAACGCUGGCGGCGUGCCUAACACAUGCAAGUCGAGCGAGAAAGCUCCUUCGGGAGUUAGUAAAGCGGCGAACGGGUGAGCAACACGUGAGAAUCUACCCUUUAGUGAAGAAUACCCUCGAGAAAUCGAGGCUAAUACUGCAUACGUCCCUUCGGGGAGAAAGAUGGCCUCUUUGCUAUCGCUAAAGGAUGAGCUUGCGUACUAUUAGCUAGUUGGCGGGGUAAAGGCCCACCAAGGCAAUGAUGGUUAACCGGCCUGAGAGGGUGUACGGUCACACUGGAACUUAGACACGGUCCAGACUCCUACGGGAGGCAGCAGUGAGGAAUCUUGCGCAAUGGGCGAAAGCCUGACGCAGCGACGCCGCGUGGAGGAUGACGGUUUUCGGAUUGUAAACUCCUGUUAAGCGGGAAGAAAGCCUUGUUUCUAAUACAAGCAAGGUAUGACGGUACCGCUAGAGAAAGCACCGGCUAACUUCGUGCCAGCAGCCGCGGUAAGGUCGUC
rnacentral:rRNA from 1 species